AACCUUUACACUGCACGCACGUGCGAUAAGGGGACUCCGAGUGCGAGGGCAUAUCGUCCUCGCUUUCGUGUACCGUAGGGUGGUACACCAACAAGGGCUGGGCAAGACCGGUGCCAGCCGCCGCGGUAAUACCGGCAGCCCGAGUGAUGGCCGAUCUUAUUGGGCCUAAAGCGUCCGUAGCUGGCUGCGCAAGUCCGUCGGGAAAUCCACUCGCCCAACGAGUGGGCGUCCGACGGAAACUGCACAGCUUGGGACCGGAAGGCUCGAAGGGUACGUUCGGGGUAGGAGUGAAAUCCCAUAAUCCCGCACGGACCACCGAUGGCGAAAGCACUUCGAGAAAACGGAUCCGACAGUGAGGGACGAAAGCCAGGGUCUCCAACCGGAUUAGAUACCCGGGUAGUCCUGGCCGUAAACAAUGUUCGCUAGGUAUGACACAGACUACGCGUCUCUGUUGUGCCGUAGGGAAGCCGAGAAGCGAACCGCCUGG
rnacentral:rRNA from 1 species